AACGAACGCUGGCGGCAGGCUUAACACAUGCAAGUCGAACGCGUGUAGCAAUACACGAGUGGCGCACGGGUGAGUAACGCGUGGAUAUCUGCCUUUUGGUUCGGAAUAACUCCGGGAAACUGGAGCUAAUACCGGAUGGUUCCUUCGGGAUAAAGAUCUAUCGCCAAAAGAUGAGUCCGCGUACGAUUAGCUAGUUGGUGAGGUAAUGGCUCACCAAGGCGACGAUCGUUAGCUGGUCUGAGAGGACGAUCAGCCACACUGGGGCUGAGACACGGCCCAGACUGCUACGGGAGGCAGCAGUGGGGAAUAUUGGACAGUGGGGGCAACCCUGAUCCAGCCAUGCCGCGUGGGUGAUGAAGGCCUUCGGGUUGUAAAGCUCUUUUGGCGGGGACGAUGAUGACGGUACCCGCAGAAUAAGCCCCGGCUAACUUCGUGCCAGCCGCCGCAGUAA
rnacentral:rRNA from 1 species